GCGAGUGGCGAACGGGUGAGUAAUAUAUCGGAACGUGCCCUGGAGUGGGGGAUAACGCAGCGAAAGUUGCGCUAAUACCGCAUACGAUCUAAGGAUGAAAGCAGGGGACCGCAAGGCCUUGUGCUCCUGGAGCGGCCGAUAUCUGAUUAGCUAGUUGGUGGGGUAAAGGCCUACCAAGGCAUCGAUCAGUAGCUGGUCUGAGAGGAAGGUCCCCCACAUUGGAACUGAGACACGGUCCAAACUCCUACGGGAGGCAGCAGUGAGGAAUAUUGGUCAAUGGACGUAAGUCUGAACCAGCCAAGUAGCGUGCAGGAUUGACGGCCCUAUGGGUUGUAAACUGCUUUUGUUGGGGAGUAAAGUGAGGCAUGUGUGCCUUUUUGCAUUUACCCUUCGAAUAAGGACCGGCUAAUUCCGUGCCAGCAGCCGCGGUAAUACGGAAGGUCCAGGCGUUAUCCGGAUUUAUUGGGUUUAAAGGGAGUGUAGGCG
rnacentral:rRNA from 1 species